AAUAAUAAACUCAGCUGAAUAUUGCAUUUUUUAAGGUCACGUAUCUGUUCUAAAAAGGUGUUCAAAAAAUGCGAUGACGUCACACUGUCAGAGGUACUGCUUUACGGCAGUUUCUGAAUCACUUCGGCACUUCCGUUUUCCCCGCCACGUGGAGUGCUAGCUGAUAUCAGCUGACUGGAUGCUGGCUGUCGGCUGAUUAUCGGCUAUGUAGCCUAGCCAAUUUAUGGUGGCUAUUGAAAAGUAAAAGAACGGAAUAAUUUGAAGACUGCUCCAUCUAGCUCCCUCCACAGCCAGACACAGCAACGAUCCUCCAGCUCCAUUCAGGCCGUGAAGGUGGACAUCUUUCUCUGAGCUGCUUUGGCCGUUUGCUGUUUGCUCAGCCUCCUGUUCCUCUCACGGAUUUGCCCCCCGAGCCUGCACAUCACAAUUUCUUUUAUUGCUAUUGUUUACAAUAGAAUUGCAUGCUCAGGGUGUGAGCUGAAGAGGCUUUUGAACACCCCUAGACUGCCCAGAGCCCUCUCCAUUUUUUUGGUGAUCUGGGUGA